UGUGCGCCGCCCUAUGGGACUCCCAAUCACUGCCGUUGUGAUAUAGCCUGGAAUCGAAUUGCGCCACUCGGGAGCCAUAAUCCCUCAAUUCAGAGUUUUCAGACACCAUGGACAUUUUCCAUGAAUUCAGGAAAUAAUGUAAUCCUAUAGUGAAUUUGGACUUUAACUAAUAUUUUGGAAAUGUAUUAUUAUGGAAUAUAAACCGGGUGGUUCGAGCCUGAAUACUGAAAGCCAUGGUAUGCUACGGAUCACAGGGAUCGGGGCCUGUUCCAGAGGAAGCAGUAUAUCCUUUGCGUCGGGCUCGUCAGAGUCAUGAAAGGAAAAAAAGGUCCUUGACCAAGUUGAUCUCACGAGCCACUGGAGGUGGAGUGCCAUUCGUCUGGCAAGCAAGACUAAAGACCCAGUGCCAGACACACACACACACACAAAGAUGCUUGAAAUAGUACAUAUCCUCAGUGGUGUUUUUGUUGCUGGCAUUGUGUUAGGGCCUAGAGCCUUGGGGCAGUGGAAUUUAAUCAUUUUAGAGGACAGAUUACCUGUAAAAUGGGUCAGCCAAACAAACAGCCUUUAUCCCUCAGAUAAUCAAUCAAAAAAAUCUAGAUUGAGUAACUAGGAUUGUGACAUCAUAGCCUCACUGGCAGCAGGCAAUGUUUGUUUACAUCAAACAUGUAUUAAUAUGAGCACUCAAUGUACAGACACUGAAGCAAAUCUCCUCAAAAACAAAGAUCUUCAACUAAUCCUUUUGGAUGGCUGUCAAUGCCUUGACACUGUUUGCAGUCAAUCUAGGCUACUGUGUAAUGAGUUUCAAACAUGUAAUCAAAGAACAUCUACACCCUAUAAUCAUUGGAAAGUUAAUUCUGCAGGGUUGAGAGCUAUAGCCUAUCACAUAAGUAUGUGUCUGUCCUGCAUGUGUGUGUGUGUGUGUGUGUGUAUGUAUAUAUAUAUAUAUAUAUAUAUAUAUAUACUGAACAAAAAUAUAAAUGCAACAUGCAACAAUUUCAAAGAUUUCACAUGACUGGGCAGGGGUCCAGCCAUGGGUGGGUUUUGGAGGGUAUAGGCUCACCCACCUGGCAGCCAGGCCCAGCCAAUCAACAACAAAAAAUUGACAACAGAGGGGCUUUAUUACAGAAAGAAAUACUCCUCAGCACCCCCGCCAGACGCCCCCCCCCCCCUUCAGAUAGGAAACCGGAUGUGGAGACCUGAGCUGGCGUGGUUACAUGUGGUCUGCGGUUGUGAGGCUGGUUGGAAGUAAUGCCAAAUUCUCUAAAACAGAGGCAGCUUAUGAUACAGAAAAUUAACAUUACAUUAUCUGGCAACAGCUCUGGUGGACAUUCCUGCAGUCACCACGCUCCCUCAACUUAAGACAUCUGUGGCAUUGUGUUGUGUGACAAAACUGACCAAUUUAAAGUGGCCUUUUAUUGUCGACAGCACAAUUGUAAUGAGCUUGCUGUUUAAUCAGCUUCUUGAUAUGCCACAUCUGUCAGGUGGAUGGAUUAUCUUGACAAAGGGAGAAAUGCUCACUAACAGGGGGAUGUAAACAAAUUUGUGCAUAACAUUUGAGAGAAAUAAAGCUUUUUCUGUGUAUGGAACAUUUCUGGGAUUUUUUAUUUCAGUUAAUGAAACAUGGCACCAGCACAUUACAUGUUGCGUUUUAUAUUUUUGUUCAGAGUAUAUAUAUGUAUGUGUAUCUACAUAUGUACUGUAUGUGAGUAUAUAUAUUUAGGUUAAAUAUUCUACCGCAUUGAGCUUUAAAUAAAAACGUUUUAGCUAAUAAGAACAAAAUGCUCCUUAUAGUAUAAAAAACAGACUUACCAACUGCUAA